GUGCCAGCAGCCGCGGUAAUACCGGCAGCUCAAGUGAUGUCCCAUAUUAUUGGGCCUAAAGCGUCCGUAGCUGGCCGACCAAGUCUCCCGGGAAAUCCAUCCGCCCAACGGGUGGGCGUCCUGUAGAAACUGGCCGGCUUGGAACCGGAAGGCUCAGAGAGUACGUCCGGGGUAGGAGUGAAAUCCCGUAAUCUCGGACGGACUACCGAUGGCGAAAGCACUCUGAGAAGACGGCUUCGACAGUGAGGGACGAAAGCUCGGGUCUCAAACCGGAUUAGAAACCCUGGUGUCC
rnacentral:rRNA from 1 species